AUCUGGCUGGCUCAGUCACAGGAGCGUGUGACUCUUAAUCUCAGGGUCAUGGGUUCAAGUCCCACGUUAGGCA
rnacentral:tRNA from 1 species